UACGUAGGGGGCAAGCGUUGUCCGGAAUCAUUGGGCGUAAAGAGCGUGUAGGCGGCCCGAUAAGUCCGCUGUGAAAGUCCAGGGCUCAACCCUGGAAUGCCAGUGGAAACUGUCGGGCUAGAGUCCGGAAGAGGCGAGUGGAAUUCCUGGUGUAGCAGUGAAAUGCGUAGAUAUCAAGUGGAACACCAGUGGCGAAGGCGGCUCUCUGGUACGUGACUGACGCUGAGACGCGAAAGCGUGGGGAGCAAACAGG
rnacentral:rRNA from 1 species